AAUGAACGUUGGCGGCGUGGAUUAGGCAUGCAAGUCGCGCGCGAAAUGUAGCAAUACAUGGAAAGCGGCGCAAGGGAGAGUAAUACAUAGGUACGUACCCUUGGGACUGGGAUAGCGGCGGGAAACUGCCGGUAAUACCAGAUGACGUUUCCGAACCAAAGGUGUGAAUCCGCCUGAGGAGCGGCCUAUGUCCUAUUAGCUUGUGGGCGAGGUAACGGCUCACCAAGGCAAAGAUGGGUAUGGGGUGUGAGAGCAUGCCCCCACUCACUGGGACUGAGACACUGCCCAGACACCUACGGGUGGCUGCAGUCGAGAAUCUUCGGCAAUGGACGCAAGUCUGACCGAGCGACGCCGCGUGCGGGAUGAAGGCCUUCGGGUUGUAAACCGCUGUCGUAGGGGAGGAAAUUCUGGUGGGUACUCCCAUCAGAUUGACUGAUCCUAGGAGGAAGGACCGGCUAAUCUCGUGCCAGCCGCCGCCGUAA
rnacentral:rRNA from 1 species